AUCCAAACCAAACAUUACUCUUAAGCUUCUUUUUCAAGGUUCUUUACCUACCAACUCUAUCUUCAUCAUGUCUCCUUGCACCUGCAACUGCUGCUCCGGCGAGUGCACUUCUUGCUCCUGCUCUAGCUGCAAGGUAUGUACCUGCGUGCUCACU
rnacentral:sRNA from 1 species